CCUACGGGAGGCAGCAGUGGGGAAUAUUGGUCAAUGGGCGCAAGCCUGACCCAGCAACGCCGCGUGCAGGAAGAAGGCUUUCGGGGUGUAAACUUCUUUUCUUAGGGACGAAGAAAGUGACGGUACCUCCGGAAUAAGCCACGGCUAACUACGUGCCAGCAGCCGCGGUAAUACGUAGGUGGCAAGCGUUAUCCGGAUGUAUUGGGUGUAAAGGGCGUGUAGGCGGGAAGGCAAGUCAGAUGUGAAAACUCAGGGCUCAACCCUGAUCAUGCAUUUGAAACUGUUUUUCUUGAGUUCUGGAGAGGCAAUCGGAAUUCCGUGUGUAGCGGUGAAAUGCGUAGAUAUACGGAGGAACACCAGUGGCGAAGGCGGAUUGCUGGACAGUAACUGACGCUGAGGCGCGAAAGCGUGGGGAGCAAACAUGAUUAGAUACCCGGGUAGUC
rnacentral:rRNA from 1 species